AUUGAACGCUGGCGGCAUGCUUUACACGUGCAAGUCGAACGGUAACAGGUUAAGCUGACGAGUGGCGAACGGGUGAGUAAUGCAUCGGAACGUGCCCGAUCGUGGGGGAUAACGCAGCGAAAGCUGCGCUAAUACCGCAUACGAUCUGAGGAUGAAAGCGGGGGACCGUAAGGCCUCGCGCGAUCGGAGCGGCCGAUGUCAGAUUAGGUAGUUGGUGGGGUAAAGGCCCACCAAGCCGACGAUCUGUAGCUGGUCUGAGAGGACGACCAGCCACACUGGGACUGAGACACGGCCCAGACUCCUACGGGAGGCAGCAGUGGGGAAUUUUGGACAAUGGGCGAAAGCCUGAUCCAGCAAUGCCGCGUGCAGGAAGAAGGCCUUCGGGUUGUAAACUGCUUUUGUACGGAGCGAAAAGGUCCUUUCUAAUACAAGGGGCUCAUGACGGUACCGUAAGAGUAAGCACCGGCUAACUACGUGCCAGCCGCCGCAGUAACAC
rnacentral:rRNA from 1 species